CUUCCAAAUGCUGUGGGCGAGGCCAAAACAAAAAACAAAGAAACCCUGAAUUGUCCAUUUUCAGAGGACGCUCCCCAUUCUGUCAUUAGAAUGGAAUGAUCAUUAAUUUUCCAAACCCCAAGUUACCUGCAUGGUCUGCCCUGCCUAUACCUCUUAUCAAAUCCUGCUCCUUUUCCCAAUAGGGACUCUCCCUGAGUUGCUACCACACCCCUUUAUGCUAAUCCCCUCCGCGGAUCUGGCCCACAGCCUGGUGGGGCUCUCUGGCUUCGAUGUCAUCACGCCUCGGCCACCCUCUCUCCUACACUCCGAGCCCCCCCACAGAUGCCACACUCAUUCUUGGCCUGUCUCAGAACAGGAUAUACCGAGGAGGGCAUUAGGAUCCUUCCCAGCCCUAGGAUCGGAUUAUCCUUGCUUCAUUCCACAUGACUAAGACUCCUGGAAGGGUUCCAGCAAGACAAGAAACAACACAUUUGCCCCUUCUCCAGAGAAAGAGCUUCCAAGUCAUCUGAGCCAGUGGAACAGCAGCAAGAGUACAGGUGUGAACGGCCCUGGGUUCAGGCCCCAGCUCUGCUGCCCACAGCACACAUGUUCCCCUCGGGCUGGUCUCUCAGAGCCUCUGUUUCUUCAUGUCAUCAAGUGAGGGUGACGUCCUCCUCCGCAGAACAACACAGAUUAAAAUGAUAACCUGCCAGACAGCCGGGUGGAGUCCAGGCCCCUGAUCAGCGAUAGUGCUGUGUGCCCUCUGCUCAGUUCCAGCCACACUCUGACUCCUGAUCUAGGCCCAUAGUGCCUGGCAAGCUAUCUGUGGAAUGAAUGAAGAGGACUAGGCUCACUGGACAAGCCAUGUGAACUGUGGACAAGAGUCUGGGUUCUGGAGUCUCAGUCUCAAUCUCAGAUCCCGUCUCUGCAGCUUUCCACGUGUGACCUUGGGCCAAGUUACUUAAUCUAAGUCUCAGUCUCCUCAUCUAUUAAAUGAAGAAUUACAGAAACAUGUGGUAAUGGAACUGCAAGAGCUGUCCAUCCUGGGAAUGGAAAGUGUAAUACGAGAAUUCAUCAGGAAUGUGGGUGACGUUGGGAGAGGAUCCUCCUUCCAGGGAGGAUGAAAGGGUGCGCGUCAGUGUGUCGUCACCUCCUCUGCAGACCACACACUAAAAGCAGAAGGGGCCUGCCUGGGCAAGGCCUGUGCUACUGGAAA